UACGAAGGAUGCAAGUGUUAUCCGGAAUCACUGGGCGUAAAGCGUCUGUAGGUGGUCAAAUAAGUCAACUGUUAAAUCUUGAGGCUCAACCUCAAAACCGCAGUCGAAACUAUUAGACUAGAGUAUAGUAGGGGUAAAGGGAAUUUCCAGUGGAGCGGUGAAAUGCGUAGAGAUUGGAAAGAACACCGAUGGCGAAGGCACUUUACUGGGCUAUUACUAACACUCAGAGACGAAAGCUAGGGUAGCAAAUGGG
rnacentral:rRNA from 1 species